GUGCUCACUUUGGCAGCACAGAUACUAAGAUUGGAAUGAUGCAGAGAUUAGCAUGGUCCCUAGCAGGGAUGACAAGCAAAUUCAUAAAGAAUUCCAUAUUUUU
ensembl:snRNA U6 U6 spliceosomal RNA